rnacentral:rRNA from 1 species
GGAGUCUGGGCCGUGUCUCAGUCCCAAUGUGGCCGUUCAUCCUCUCAGACCGGCUACUGAUCGUCGCUUUGGUGGGCCGUUACCCCGCCAACUGGCUAAUCAGACGCAGGACCAUCUCCAAGCGAUAGCAUAUGCAGAGGCCAUCUUUGGCAUGCGGCUCAUGCGAGCCGCAUGCAACAUUCGGUAUUAGCAGCCCUUUCGGACUGUUGUCCCCAUCUUGGAGGCAGGUUUCCUACGCGUUACUCACCCGUUUGCCACUAGGCUCAUAAAGCAAGCUUCUAAUCGCCCCGUUCGACUUGCAUGUGUUAA